AAAAGCUCAGAAGAGGAGGAGCAACAGGAGGCAUUCAGGGCUAUGAUGUUUGUCUUCUAAAGUAACCGUUAGGUAAUGAAGCCCAGCUUUCCUGGAAAUGACUGAACAUCUGCCUGCUGACAGGAAGUAGUGAAUACAUUUCUUAUUUUGCUGUCUUUGUUCGCAUGCGCUGCUUUGCUUCACUUAUUAAGCCGUCUUUAACUCAAUGCAAUGUAUUUAAUUUUUGUUCUGACUUUUGCCUGUACAAUUCUCUUCCCCUACACCACUGUAAGUGAGAGUGAGCAAGCAGAACCUAGCUGCCUAUUGGGGUUAACCCACAAGUAGACAUUAUCAUGACUUGCAGUAGGAGAAAAUUAAGUUGUUACCGAGACCACAAAUCAGACUUGCUCAUUUUGGAGCAAAAUAAAAACUGCUUGUAAAGUAGUUGCUGUAAGAUGUGAUUUAUUGUACAUUUGUACUGCUGGAAAGUUUUGAGUUUGCUGAUAGUUUGGAGCACAUCUCACGGAUUUUGUUCAGCUAGUUUGCUCUGUGUAUAUGUAGGAGGGGCAUUCAUGCUUGUUUUUUACAAUCUGAAGUCUGAACUCUGAAGUUUUGUGGGUUUUGUUGUUGUUGUAUUUUGUUUCUGUGUUGUUUUGUUGUCAUCAUCCUGUGGAAAUCUGGGUGUAUUUGAUCAACUGAUAUCUUUGUACCUGGUAGGUAUCAUUUGGAGUUCCAGUCACGCUUUUGCAAAUCAGUUUCCUACAUGAAUUCUCAGAAUCGGAUUUUGCAUCUUCCCCAUAAAAACUGGACCCAUCUGUGAACCAUGCUGAAUAUUCUGUGGCACAAAGUCAGCAACAGAGUUUUUAUCUGAUAACAGUUGACAGGCAUACAAAACUUAAGGAAACUCUGUUACCCAAAUAUCUACUGUUUUUACUUCCUCCGGAUUCCUAAUAACAAUGCAUCAAUGACCUGCAGGAAUCACUCCACCCUCACCUCCCACUGGUUAUAUUACUCUCUGGAUUAGGAUUAGAAGAAGGGGAAAGAAACAAAAGAUUAGCUCACUCCCUUUGUGUUACUCAGUUUCAUUCUCACUGGGUGCUCAAGAAUGGAUUUACCUUCAAGCGUUACUGUCACCUGGACCAUUCGGCACCAUAUGUGAGAAGGAAAGGGAGGCAGGGUCCAAAGUGCAUACACUUCACUCCCUGUGUAGAUGAGGCAACAAGAGAGAAAAAAAAAAAAAAAGAAAAAAGAAAAAAAGAUAAAGCUGUUCGUCAUCUCUGUUUUGCAUAA
rnacentral:lncRNA from 1 species